UACGGGGGGGGUAAGCGUUGUUCGGAAUUACUGGGCGUAAAGGGCUCGUAGGCGGCCAACUAAGUCAGACGUGAAAUCCCUCAGCUUAACUGGGGAACUGCGUCUGAUACUGGAUGGCUUGGAUCCGGGAGAGGGAUGCGGAAUCCCAGGUGUAGCGGUGAAAUGCGUAGAUAUCUGGAGGAACACCGGUGGCGAAGGCGGCAUCCUGGACCGGUAUUGACGCUGAGGCGCGAAAGCCAGGGGAGCAAACGGG
rnacentral:rRNA from 1 species